UGUGACACACCCUGCAAAAACAACUCGAUCAAUGCAGCAAAUAUCUACGUAGCAUUCCAUCUUAUACUCGCCUCCGAUUAUCAAACCGGACCCGAUCGAACGGCAGGACGACGAGGGCGACGGCAAGAGAAACACAUGUGGUUACUGUAAAGGAUCAGCUACCUUUGCAGACUCAAAUAGAAGGCACAGCUACUAGAAAUGAACUGAGUCUCGGACCAGAGAUUGUCCUCAUGCUAUGAAGAGAGAACACUCACUUUGAACCUAACAGGCCAAAAGGUUGCUAAAAUCAAACUUUCUCCUCUAUUGAAACGCUCCUU